CACAUACACAUACGCACGCAUAUUUAUGUAACUAAAGAGCUAGACGAUAGCCACGGUAGUAACGUGUACUUCCGGCUUCCAGCGUAUUGCGGAAUCAAAGCUUACGGAUCGACUGAUCAACGUCAGAACUCCUCCAUAAAAACGUACUGACAUCACCAAUCAAGAUACGCAGCUACGUAGUCGUGAACAUUAAUAAACAUUCGUCGUUAUAAAUGCGACAAUAACUGGAUAAUGUGAGAAUACUUAUCACAAUGCUGGCGGGAAGCGCCUGCGAUUAGAGAGUGAUUUUCGU